CCUACGGGAGGCAGCAGUGGGGGAUAUUGCACAAUGGGGGGAACCCUGAUGCAGCGACGCCGCGUGGGUGAAGAAGCGCCUCGGCGCGUAAAGCUCUGUCAGCAGGGAAGAAAAUGACGGUACCUGAAGAAGAAGCCCCGGCUAACUACGUGCCAGCAGCCGCGGUAAUACGUAGGGGGCAAGCGUUAUCCGGAUUUACUGGGGGUAAAGGGGGCGGAGACGGCGAUGCAAGCCAGGGGUGAAAGCUCGGGGCCCAACCCCGGGACUGCGCUUGGAACUGCGUGGCUGGAGUGCAGGAGGGGCAGGCGGAAUUCCUGGUGUAGCGGUGAAAGGCGUAGAUAUCAGGAGGAACACCGGUGGCGAAGGCGGCCUGCUGGACUGCAACUGACGUUGAGGCCCGAAAGCGUGGGGAGCAAACAGGAUUAGAUACCCUUGUAGUC
rnacentral:rRNA from 1 species